rnacentral:rRNA from 1 species
GCGCAGACAACUAGGACGUUGGCUCAGAAGCAGCCAUCAUUCAAAGAGUGCGUAAUAGCUCACUAGUCGAGUGACGCCGCGCCGAAAAUUUACCGGGGCUAAGCAUGAUACCGAAACUGUGGAUGUGCAUUUAUGCACGUGGUAGGAGAGCGUUCUAGCGGCGGUGAAGCAUGACCGAGAGGACAUGUGGAGCUUCUAGAAGUGAGAAUGCCGGUAUGAGUAACGAAAGACAGGUGAGAAUCCUGUCCGCCGCAAGAC